UGAACUACCAGGAAGAAGUUUCCUGUCCAAGAAUUUUGAGAUGGUUGUCGGCCAACACCGAUAAAAAUGCAAAAUUUCUUGAUCUUUUCAAUCCCCACAAGGAAGCAGUAAGUCCAAUUCUAAUCAAGUUUUUGUUUUAAUUAAUGAUUAAAUGAUUUCAUCAUCAUUCUUAAUAUAUGUACCGAUUUAUUUUAGAUUGUCCAUCCGUGGCUUGUUCCGACCAACCGAGAGUUGAAGAUGCCAUUUUUCUUACUUUACU
rnacentral:lncRNA from 1 species